rnacentral:rRNA from 1 species
UACGUAGGCAGCGAGCGUUGUUCGGAGUUACUGGGCGUAAAGCGUGCGUAGGCGGUGUCUUAAGUUUGUUGUGAAAUCUCCCGGCUUAACCGGGAGGGUGCGGCGAAUACUGAGAUGCUGGAGUGCCGGAGAGGUAAGCGGAAUUCCUGGUGUAGCGGUGAAAUGCGUAGAUAUCAAGAGGAGCACCAGUGGCGAAGGCGAGUCCCUGGACAAACCCUGACACUGAGGCACGAAAGCCAAGGGAGCAAACAGG